AUUGAACGCUGGCGGCAUGCCUUACACAUGCAAGUCGAACGGCAGCGGGGGAGAAGCUUGCUUUUCCUGCCGGCGAGUGGCGAACGGGUGAGUAAUACAUCGGAACGUGCCCUGUAGUGGGGGAUAACUAGUCGAAAGAUUAGCUAAUACCGCAUACGACCUGAGGGUGAAAGUGGGGGACCGCAAGGCCUCAUGCUAUAGGAGCGGCCGAUGUCUGAUUAGCUAGUUGGGGGGGUAAAGGCCUACCAAGGCGACGAUCAGUAGCUGGUCUGAGAGGACGAUCAGCCACACUGGGACUGAGACACGGCCCAGGCUCCUACGGGAGGCAGCAGUGGGGAAUUUUGGACAAUGGGCGAAAGCCUGAUCCAGCAAUGCCGCGUGUGUGAAGAAGGCCUUCGGGUUGUAAAGCACUUUUGUCCGGAAAGAAAUGGCUCUGGUUAAUACCUGGGGUCGAUGACGGUACCGGAAGAAUAAGGACCGGCUAACUACGUGCCAGCCGCCGCGGUAA
rnacentral:rRNA from 1 species